rnacentral:rRNA from 2 species
CCCCUGAUUAGUGGCGAACGGGUGAGUAACACGUGAGUAACCUGCCCUCCACUUCGGGAUAACCUCGGGAAAUCGUGGCUAAUACCGGAUAUGAGCACUCAUCGCAUGGUGGGUGUUGGAAAGAUUUAUCGGUGGGGGAUGGACUCGCGGCCUAUCAGUUUGUUGGUGAGGUGAUGGCUCACCAAGACGAUGACGGGUAGCCGGCCUGAGAGGGCGACCGGCCACACUGGGACUGAGACACGGCCCAGACUCCUACGGGAGGCAGCAGUGGGGAAUAUUGCACAAUGGGCGAAAGCCUGAUGCAGCGACGCCGCGUGGGGGAUGACGGCCUUCGGGUUGUAAACCCCUUUCAGUAGGGAAGAAGCGAGAGUGACGGUACCUGCAGAAGAAGCGCCGGCUAACUACGUGCCAGCAGCCGCGGUAAUACGUAGGGCGCAAGCGUUGUCCGGAAUUAUUGGGCGUAAAGAGCUUGUAGGUGGCUUGUCGCGUCUGCCGUGAAAACCCGAGGCUCAACCUCGGGCGUGCGGUGGGUACGGGCAGGCUAGAGUGUGGUAGGGGAGACUGGAACUCCUGGUGUAGCGGUGAAAUGCGCAGAUAUCAGGAAGAACACCGAUGGCGAA